GGGCCCGCACAAGCGGUGGAGUAUGUGGUUUAAUUCGAUGCAACGCGAAGAACCUUACCAGGGUUUGACAUCCUGCGAAUCUCUUGGAAACUAGGAAGAGUGCCUUCGGGAACGCAGUGACAGGUGGUGCAUGGCUGUCGUCAGCUCGUGUCGUGAGAUGUUGGGUUAAGUCCCGCAACGAGCGCAACCCACGUUCUUUAGUUGCCAGCAUUUAGUUGGGCACUCUAGAGAGACUGCCGGUGAUAAACCGGAGGAAGGUGUGGAUGACGUCAAGUCAUCAUGCCCCUUACAUCCUGGGCUACACACGUACUACAAUGGCGCAUACAGAGGGCAGCAAGCUAGCGAUAGUGAG
rnacentral:rRNA from 1 species